UUUUUAUCAAGAGUGACUGAAGGAACAGGCCUAGUGAAGUCACAGCAACCUUCCAAGUGGAGUGGUGCUACCUCCUGCAGAAUGGGUGCAUUCUGGAAGAUAAAGA
rfam:Bacillus alcalophilus ATCC 27647 = CGMCC 1.3604 strain AV1934 contig00014, whole genome shotgun sequence.